GCUUGGAAGUGAAGGAGAACAUGGAGUUUUUCAGUUCACAUGCUGGACAACAGAUUUAAAGAAGGCAUUGGUUGGAGAAAUGAUCUGAUGAUGAGGAUCGCCUUGGAAACUGUAUUUUCCCAGGAGUUGAUGAUCUGCAGGUUCUUGCUUUACAUGGUCUGCAAUUUUUUUAUCUCUCAUAACUGAUUUGGCUGCAACUCCCAUCAGAUGAUGAGGAUCCACUGACCUCACUUCCCCCAAACAUCAACAAAUUAUGAUUACCCUUAUUCAUAGCUGCUGGGUGGUGAUGAUAUUGCUGCAUUAGUGCAGGGGGGUUCAGCAAGGCCUGCUGGUCUUGAUGGCUCAUUUGGAAGUUGAAAGAAGAAUAGAGAGACUUGUUACAGUGAUCAUGCCCAAAAUCUGGGUGGUGGAGGGAGGGGGAUUCAAGCUCAGAAAAUGACUUUGUGUGGGGUGUAAAACGGGGAUUGUUGUUGAGGUGGUGUGGGAAGAAGAACAAAAGGUGCAAUUAGGGCGGCAGAAAACAGUGGCGACAUGGAUGAUGAUAUGACUGAUCCGUGUUUGGAAGAAGAAGCAGAUGAAGAGGAAGGAGCAUCAUUGCCAUGAGCUUCUUCUUCAGUUUGGUGUUCCAAUAAUUCUUGAUAUCAUUAUCAGUUCUUCCUGGUAAUUGAGCUACUAUUAUUGACCACCUCCAACCAAGCCACAUGUUAGAUAUGAUAAUAAUUAAGCAGCUGGCCUGCCUGGCAUAUAUGCAUGAUGCAUGCAGAAUCUUUCUACAUAAAAACAUUAGAAUCUAUAAUCCAUCAACUAA